GGAACCUUACCUGGGCUAGAAUGUAUUUUGCCACCUUGAGAAAUUGAGGGUUCCUUCGGGACGGAAURSMAGGUGCUGCAUGGCUGUCGUCAGCUCGUGCCGUGAGGUGUUGGGUUAAGUCCUAUAACGAGCGAAACCCUUUUACUUAAUUGCCAGCACGUAAUGGUGGGGACUUUAAGUAGACURCCCGUGUAAGCGGGAGGAAGGAGAGGAUGAGGUCAAGUCAUCAUGGCCUUUAUGCCCAGGGCUACACACGUACUACAAUGGCAUGUACAAAGGGAAGCUACUUGGUAAUAAGAUGCAAAUCUUAAAAGCAUGUCUCAGUUCGGAUUGAGGUCUGCAAUUCGACCUCAUGAAGUUGGAAUCGCUAGUAAUCGCGUAUCAGCAAUGACGCGGUGAAUACGUUCUCGGACCUUGUACACACCGCCCAUCAAGCCAUGGGAGUUGGUAGAGCUUGAAGACAGUGGC
rnacentral:rRNA from 1 species